rnacentral:lncRNA from 1 species
GAAACAUCUAAAUGAUUGCUGGCUUAAUCUCAAAGUUAUUGGCUUAGAUGGUAGGUCUACAGAUGCUAGAAUGAAGGCCUUAAACGAAAGGUACAACAUAUUCUCAUAAGGACUUGUUCUCUUCUUGUUAAUCAACCAUUAUUUUAGAUUAACUUGAAGCUUGUGAAUUUUUUUUUGAAGCUUCGAAGAGUCUUUUCAAUUUUUGGAUCAAAAGGAACAAUUUCCAAACUUCUCACUUUUAGCAUACAACAACCAAAAGCACUGGAAAACAAAUAAAAAGAAAGUUUGAAUUAAGAUUAAGAUUGCUUGGUAUUAAUAUUAACAAAAGAAAAUUUGGCACAAAUCCAUGGCAAUGGCACCAAAACCUUGUUGUCGGAUUCAUCACGCAAGUGCAUGUAUUAUUAACAAGUAAUAUUGUCACGACCCGGUACUCCCCUCGAGCUCGUGACAACCGUCGCGGUGUCCCGAUAGACACUCAUCACCUGAAAUGCCAACCAAAACCCCGCAAGGCUUUAAUAUCAGUUUCUCAUUCCCCCUGUGAGUAAUCAUUGCUAAAUAUCAUGUUCUAAAAGAUUUUAAGUUAUUUCCAAUUUAAAACAAUAAAAAAAUUAUUUCUGUUUCAUAGGGGCAUUUUGGUCAUUUUUCCUUGAACAUUUCGAAAUCUACUAAAAAUGUAGUAUGCAAGUACAAAACACAUAAUUCAUAAUAAAAAAUAAGUUUAAACAUCUAAAACCUUUAUUUAAAAUGAAAUUAUGAUUAUUUAAAUAUAAUAAAAAAAUAAAAGAAAUAUUCAAUAAAAUAUUCUAUUUUCUUAUUAAACACUAUUUUUAGAGUUAUACGUAAAAAAUUUUUACAGCGUAAAAAUAAAAUAAAUUCAUACAUACUGUAAUACAGUAAGCCAGAGUAUUUAAUUUAAUUUACAAUAAUCAGUGGGCCCACGAAUAACCAAAAGUAAGGGAGACUGUAAACUUACAGUUUGGAGGAUGUAAAUCCAAUAGUAGCCUCGAUGGAAUCAGCUAU